UGCAUUAUGUUAUACUAUGCUAGUAGAGAAGUUAAGGCGGUGGCUAUUUCCAGUAUUGGAGGUGGUGCUUAUGGUGUAAACCUAAUAAGCCAACCCAAAUUCCAGGAAAGGAGUAGCCCAAGUGUCCGUGUCGGACGCUUUACAAUUAAUGCUGGCUUUCGGUACCUUUAUCGUAGCCUUAAUCGCAU
rnacentral:sRNA from 1 species